AUUGAACGCUGGCGGAAUGCUUUACACAUGCAAGUCGAACGGCAGCACGGACUUCGGUCUGGUGGCGAGUGGCGAACGGGUGAGUAAUGUAUCGGAACGUGCCCAGUCGUGGGGGAUAACGUAGUGAAAAUUACGCUAAUACCGCAUACGAUCUAUGGAUGAAAGCGGGGGAGCGCAAGACCUCGCGCGAUUGGGGCGGCGGAUAUCAGAUUAGGUAGUUGGUGGGGUAAAGGCCCACCAAGCCAACGAUCUGUAGCUGGUCUGAGAGGACGACCAGCCACACUGGAACUGAGACACGGUCCAGACUCCUACGGGAGGCAGCAGUGGGGAAUUUUGGACAAUGGGCGAAAGCCUGAUCCAGCCAUUCCGCGUGCAGGAUGAAGGCCCUCGGGUUGUAAACUGCUUUUGUACAGAACGAAAAGGUUUCUACUAAUACUAGGAGCUCAUGACGGUACUGUAAGAAUAAGCACCGGCUAACUACGUGCCAGCAGCCGCAGUAA
rnacentral:rRNA from 1 species